CUCAGGGGAAGCGAGUGUCCAGGAGGCCCCCAAGCUCCCCUGGGCCUUCUAGACGUGACUGGCAGCUCGACCCGCACUUCCGCCCAACUCCCCUUUCCUCUAGAGUCAAGUGAUGCUGUUAGCCCGGGCUCUGCCACUAGGGGCUUCAACUUAUAGCUGCCACCUUCCGAGGUGGUGGGGGGCGUUUAGGGCGGUGUAUAUAAUGUCCCCUCCACUCUGAGGUUCGCUUCAGGACCAAUGUGCCCACAGCCAGCUCCGGCCGUGACCCUGACCCCAUGAAUUCACGCACACACCUUCCUGCACGCCGCUCCUGCCAGCUCUCAUUGAGAGGCUGGGGCUUACGCUAAUUUGACGCUCCGACUCCACAGGGGGCUUGCGGACCUCAGGACACCAGGCCCUCUCUUCCCGCCUGUGUUCUACAGACGGGCAAUCAACUGGCUGUCUAUGCAGGCGCUAUGGUCUAACCACUGAGGCAUCGGAGGGCGUCCAGCCACGGCCCAGUUCCCUGGAGUUUAUUGAGUAAGCCAGCAGCACGCACACGGGGACCCACGUCUCUCAGAACCCCGCAGCCCAAGUGGAAGGAGGCGUACUUGUGCAGGCCAAGACCACAGUCAGUUCUGAGCUGAUACCGUGAGUGAUUGCGGUGGGAACUGGGAGCGGCGAGGAGGAGCAGGAGCGGGGUUCCCACGAAGGCAGCGACAAGCGGAAUGAAGCAGACGUGUAAGAAGAAGCCACACCUCAUGGCCUCAGUACAAGCCAGAGGACGGAGAACAUCGGCCCGUAAACGGGAGUAUCAAGUUUAAUACCACGCAGCAAUUUGAUCACUUUUGAGCAAGUGACCCGACAGGCCAGUCUGCCGCUGCUGUCCGCACGUCUGACACCCGGGACCCCAGGACCCCAGCUCCCCAUGGGGGCCUUGGCCAUA